rnacentral:misc_RNA from 1 species
GAUGAAGAACGCAGCGAAAUGCGAUAAGUAGUGUGAAUUGCAGAAUUCAGUGAAUCAUCGAAUCUUUGAACGCACAUUGCGCCUCCUGGUAUUCCGGGAGGCAGGCCUGUUCGAGCGUCAUUAAAAUCACUCAAGCUUAGGUUUACCUAUUGCUUGGUCUUGGAGAUGGAAGCCAAUUUAUUGGAAUCCUCUUCGAAAUUCAAUGGCGAAGACCCUUGCUCUCCCAAGUGUAGUAAUAACUUAUGUCACUGAAGGAAGCGAGAAAUCUUCUGCCGUAACCCCCAUAUUUUCUAUGAUUGACCUCGGAUCAGGUAGGGAUACCCGCUGAACUUAAGCAUAUCAAUAAGCGGAGGA